CCGACUGCUAUCAGAGUGGGAUUAAGCCAUGCGAGUCAACAUAGCAAUAUGUGGCAUACGGCUCAGUAACACGUAGUCAACAUGCCCAGGGGACGUGGAUAACCUCGGGAAACUGAGGAUAAACCGCGAUAGGUCAUCACUUCUGGAAUGGGUAAUGACUUAAAUCUAUAUGGCCCCUGGAUUGGACUGCGGCCGAUCAGGCUGUUGGUGAGGUAAUGGCCCACCAAACCUGUAACCGGUACGGGCUCUGAGAGGAGGAGCCCGGAGAUGGGCACUGAGACAAGGGCCCAGGCCCUAUGGGGCGCAGCAGGCGCGAAACCUCUGCAUUAGGCGAAAGCUUGACAGGGUUACUCUGAGUGAUUUCCGUUAAGGAGAUCUUUUGGCACCUCUAAAAAUGGUGCAGAAUAAGGGGUGGGCAAGUCUGGUGUCAGCCGCCGCGGUAAUACCAGCACCCCGAGUGGUCGGGACGUUUAUUGGGCCUAAAGCAUCCGUAGCCGGUUCUACAAGUCUUCCGUUAAAUCCACCUGCUCAACAGAUGGGCUGCGGAAGAUACUAUAGACCUAGGAGGCGGG
rnacentral:rRNA from 1 species